CCUUUCUGCAAGUAAAAAAAGGAUAUGUUCUCAUAACAAGGAUGGAAAGUAUAACAGCUUACAAAAACCAAUAUGGACAACACAGAUCUGGAACUCAAGAACAACCUGGUACUAGCUGCUAAUGACAUGUGUGCACUGGACGAAUGGCCAUCCCAUGCUCGCCGCAACCGUGCACAACUAUAGAAUGAAAGUGAUGGAAAAAGAAGAAAGGGCGAGGUGUACUUUUUGUAUUUAGGACAAAGCAUUUAAAGAGGUUCGAAACAAAGAAAAUGAAACUGAAGGUCCAGUUUCCAGUGAACAUAGAAGCAAUAUUUUCCAGACCGCAUAGAAAGACACUCCGCAAUGCAACUCAUCAUAGCCUCAUGGGUAUGGAUACAUGGCCAAACCACCAAGUGGUUCCGAAAAGGAUUAAAUCACAAUUUGAAGAGUAAGCACGUGCUACAACAGAGAUCCAAAAGAUAAACUUUGAGCUCAGCCAUCAGGUCACCAAAUUACAAGAUCAAUUACAAGCUGAACGUGAAAGCACACAAGAGAGGAUUAACUUGGAGCGUGCUGAGAGAAAACCUUGAGGAGAGGUUAAAAGAAGAGCGUGCUGAAACGGAAAGAUUGUUGGAAGAGGAGCGAAGAUCAACACUGGAAUUUGAGAAAAACAUGAUGGCAAAGUGUGCACAGUUGUCCCAACAGACGCAAACACAUCAGAUGAAUAAGAAAAGGACUGGCAAAGAAAAUAGUAAUCCAAACUUGCAAAAUACUCUUUUACAGACCGCUAGUACUACUGGGACUCUAGGUACAAGGCACAAUGUAAUUGCUCCCAAUACGCUCAUACAAGCUGCAACAAUUCGAAUGUUUCGAGCAAUGGAUCCAAAGAUUUAAGUAGAAUGGACUCUAGACCACGGACAAUUUACUCUUCGCUCUUAAUUAGGUUGGCACAUUCAGUAUGUUGAAUGCGUGCUAAAUUAUAUUUCAGUUUCAUUUGAUGGAUAUUGGCUAUGCAAAUAUUGACAUUGUAUGAAUGUACAUCAUAUAUGUAUUAUCUGAAUCAUGUAAUUGAAUGCAUGUAUGUUUUUUUCUGGUUGCAAUAGGCUAUUGCCACAACCUAUUUUUGGUUGGAACAUGGUGGCACAA